rnacentral:snRNA from 1 species
GUGCUCGCUUGGGCAGCACAUAUUCUAAAAUUGAAACAAUAUAGAGAUAAUCAGCAUGGCCCCUGAGCAAGGAUGACACGCAAAUUUGUGAAGUGUUUCAUGUUUUU